rnacentral:rRNA from 1 species
GGGCUCGGGAAGGUUAGCAAAAACCCACGCGGACAAUAAGACGUAUAAUUUGGUUCAGCACGGCACAGGAGGCCUUGCCUAAAUUUAGCGUCCUAUAGGUGUUACAUGGUUACGGUGAUACCUUCAAAGACGCGAUAGCGAAUACUACGUAACUAUCAUCGACUCAUAUCAUAGAGUAUUUAAUUGGAUCCGACGGCAGACACGGCCCUUGUCUUUGAUUACCGACACAUGGUAACAAAGGCUCUGAGAGAGCUACCCAAAUUGGCCAAAGAAGGAACAAAAGUAGCAUCGGAUCCUCGUAACCCUUGUGUCCGAAACUGCGCGCAUACUGCGGUAAUGGGUGCGAGAAACGACAGACCAAUAGCAACAGACAGGUCCCUGGGAUUUGUCUCGAUCCAAGUUAAGAUCUACGGCUCAGCUCCGUAGGAUUAAGGUCACUGAUGGUCACAAGUCGACGUACCACAAUAGGUGUAUUCCCAAACCUUAUGCGCGCCACCCAUCGCGCCGUAAAGAUUAGUUGUGCCCAGCAUUCACUAAACUGGCC